GCAACCCCUUGACCACCGCUCACCACAGAAAUCUUAUCCCCGCCCCAUGCGAGUAUCUCUAUCCAGUUCUACCCCUGUCGCCAUUCUCUCUCUGUCUCUGAAUCCCCGAAAUACCAGCGCCGGAGACCAUGGUUGAGGGGUGCCGGAGCCAACGCGAGCGGAGAGCUGAGUCCAUGAAACGCCACCGCGACUAGCUGCACCCGCGGCCGCGGCGAGCUGCGCACAUGGAGCGAGGCCAUGGAGCGGCCGGCCUGGGGUGGAGGUUGUUUGCGUCCUCGGACCGACGGCGACGCGCGGAGGGAACACGCUGGGACCUGGUGAGAACGCGGUGCUGGAACCAGCAUCGGGAUUUGCUUCAACCAGCGUGAGGAUUUGAUUCAACCGGCGAGGAUGGUGGUGGCGGCGACAACGAUGGCCGUGCAGGGGAUGAUUGUGCCGGGCGACCAUGGCGGCGGUGCCAUGAUUUUUGUUGCACAGAUUUUUUGCUGGAACUAGCAUUUUUGAGUUCCUGCAAGCGGCAAGGAUGGUGCUGGGCGGAUACAACGGCAACUCCAUGAAUUCUUUUGCUGCAUUGACCUUUUUUUCUGGAGGAAACACUUUUCAUUUUUUGCUGGAACUAUAGCAAUUUUUUGUUGGAACCAUGUGUAUUUUUUGCUGGAACCAUAUCAAUGUCUUUUGCUGAAAUCAUAGCAUUUUUGCUACAACCACAUUAUUGUUUGCUGGAGCCAUAUUAAUUAUUUGCUGGAACUAUGUGUUUUUGGUUUCAAACUAGCGUAUUCUUUGUUUUUUGUGCUGCAAUCGAUGAGUGGCAACGGCGAGCGACGAGCAUUGGGGAACCAACGGAGCUUCGAGGUCGCCGGGGCAUGAAUCGAUGGUGCUCGUUGUGUUUUUGUUUCCUUGUGCGUACUGGGAAGAAGGACGGGAAGGGAAAGGAAGAGGACGUGAGAUCUGACGGUUCGUGACUUUCAGAUCGAUGACUAGUAGCGGACCGGCCGAAAGAUUGGGCCGGUGCGCCGGCGCCUAGCCUUGGCCUUUUUGUUUUGUUUUCUCUUUUUCUUCUUUGAUUUUGUUUUAUUUUCCACUUUUCUACUUUUAACUUUAUGUUUGUUCACUAAUUUGUUUUUCUUCUUCCUAGUUUAUGUUUUUUAUUUCACCUUUUUUUACUGUGUUAUUUAUGUAUUUUAUAUUUUUUGUAAUGUUCAAAAUAUCGGCCGAUUUGUCGCUCUAACAAGCGAUUGAUCGAGAACAUAGCGACUUGGGCCCAUGUAUUUCCUAAGACUAAUAUGUACUAUCCUCUAUAACACUAAGACUUGGGCCCAUGUUUUAAAGGCCUCAUAAUUAAUUGGAGUCUUCAAUUUAAAAUUGGUCAUCCAAUUUUGAUCGGAUCAACAAUU
rnacentral:rRNA from 1 species